rnacentral:rRNA from 1 species
UGCGUUGGGAAUAUGCCUUGAGGGUGGGGACGAACAGUUGGAAACGACUGCUAAUACCGCAUAAAUGUCUACGGACCAAAGAAGGGGGACCUUCGGGCCUCUUGCCUUUAGAUUAAGCCCAAGUGAGAUUAAGCUAGUAGGUGGGGUAAUGGCUCACCUAGGCGACGAUCUCUAGCUGGUUUGAGAGGAUGAUCAGCCACACUGGGACUGAGACACGGGCCCCAGACUCCUACGGGAGGCAGCAGUGGGGAAUCUUAGACAAUGGGCGCAAAGCCUGAUCUAGCCAUGCCGCGUGUGUGA